GAAGGGUGUAGCUCAGCUGGUAGAGCCCCUGCAUUGCAUCCAGAAGGUCCCAGGUUCAAUCCCUUCUCUACAACCCUUCA